GACGAACCGUGCAAACGUUGUUCGGAAUCACUGGGCUUAAAGGGCGCGUAGGCGGCUUGCAUAGUCGGUGGUGAAAUCCUGCAGCUUAACUGUAGAAGUGCCUCCGAUACUAGCAAGCUCGAGGGAGGUAGGGGUCUGUGGAACUUCUGGUGGAGCGGUGAAAUGCGUUGAUAUCAGAAGGAACGCCGGUGGCGAAAGCGACGGACUGGACCUCUUCUGACGCUGAGGCGCGAAAGCUAGGGGAGCAAACGGG
rnacentral:rRNA from 1 species